rnacentral:rRNA from 1 species
CUACGGAGGGAGCUAGCGUUGUUCGGAAUUACUGGGCGUAAAGCGCACGUAGGCGGCUUUUUAAGUCAGAGGUGAAAUCCCGGGGCUCAACCCCGGAACUGCCUUUGAAACUGGAAGGCUAGAAUCUUGGAGAGGCGAGUGGAAUUCCGAGUGUAGAGGUGAAAUUCGUAGAUAUUCGGAAGAACACCAGUGGCGAAGGCGACUCGCUGGACAAGUAUUGACGCUGAGGUGCGAAAGCGUGGGGAGCAAACAGGAUUAGAUACUCUGGUAGUCCACGCCGUAAACGAUGAUAACUAGCUGUCCGGGUUCAUGGAACCUGGGUGGCGCAGCUAACGCAUUAAGUUAUCCGCCUGGGGAGUACGGCCGCAAGGUUGAA